UUCUGAAUCCACACUGCGGCUCCGGAUACACACGGUCAGCUAGGACCUGUAGGCGGGCAAGGAUAACACGGGCAAAGACCUUGCCAACUACGUUCAGUAGAGAGAUACCACGGAGUUCGUGGAGUGGUUUCAGAAGCGCUGGUUUUCCGCACUUGAUUAGCUCGGGAGGUAUUCCAUCCGCACCAGGAGACUUCCAACAUGCUAGAGCAUCAAUGGCCUUGCUGAGCUCAUCUAAG